rnacentral:rRNA from 1 species
UACGUAGGGGGCUAGCGUUGUCCGGAAUCAUUGGGCGUAAAGAGCGUGUAGGCGGCCAGGUAGGUCUGCUGUGAAAACUCGAGGCUCAACCUCGAGACGUCGGCGGAAACCAUCUGGCUAGAGUCCGGAAGAGGAGAGUGGAAUUCCUGGUGUAGCGGUGAAAUGCGUAGAUAUCGGGAGGAACACCAGUGGCGAAGGCGACUACCUGGCCUGUUCUUGACGCUGAGGCGCGAAAGCUAGGGGAGCAAACGGG